AUUUGGGCCGUCCGCGCUCUGCCUCAGAAUGGGAAUCGGCGUGGUAGAGGAGUACACACCCAGAGGAACGGCGGCUGCCACGGAAGCGAAGGCGCAUAACACGAUCGUCUGAAACAUGAUCCAGACACGUGGCCCGAGGACGAUAAAGCGGUUGGCUGAUCCGAAAGUCGAAGUUGUAAGGAAGACGCGUGUAAUCCGAAUUAUAUAUAUAUAUAUAUAAUCCUGCAGUGUAGAUUUCGGCACUGAUUUGCGUACUUGCGUAACGUUAUAUAACGGAUCUACAAGCGCAGUAUUUCGAUGCUUUAAGGCUGUGGGGCGAAUUUGUAACACGCAGAACCUUCAAUCCCGAAAUUGGUAAAAGUAAACUGCAAGAUUCGUGGUACUUUUAAUGCAUCUGAAAAUUAACGUCUCUUCGUUUUGAUACGUUGUCGCACCCUGUCAGUUGUCUCGAUAAGAAUUUAAAUUGGUGCGGAUAUUUCGAUUAUUCGUGCCGACGAUUAGAAGAAAAUUUUAUUGUCCUUAUUAUAAAGCAUUUCCUAGUCGCAUGUUAUAGAAAAUUUCUCAUUUCUUUACUGGAAGUAAAUAUGACGAUAGGAUGAAAUUUGAUGGACGAUACGCCAACUCGUGAAAUUCAAGCUCCGGUUAAACGACAUUUUAUUUCGACGUAAUAGGAUAGUUAGGGAUAUUUGACGACUUUCUUAUACCGAAGAAAUAACCGUUUAAAUCGCAAGUGUCUUUUUAAGAAAUUUAUAUGUAAAAUGGUGUAACUUUAUUUCUCGACGAGUGAAUAGGUAUAUUAUAUCAACCUACGUGUAUCGUUUAUCAAAUGAUCGGUUUAAGUGUAUUUAUGCAAAUCGUAUACGGCGGUAUCGGUAGCAUAAUUAUUCUACGAUUAUCGUAAUUAUUCGUAUGCUACUGGAAGCAAGUAACAAGAGAACGAUGAUACGUUAAACGGUUGAAUAUCUUAUAUUGUAUGUAUGAUCGAUGAAAUUAACGUCGACAACGUUUACAACGUAAAUUUAUACGUACGUGUUAAAACGCGAUGAACUUGUUAUCUCUUAAUUCGUUAAAAAUUGUACGUAGCGAUCACGAUACAUCGUCAUAUGUAAAGAAUUCUUUCGUAUUCAUCGAUGUUUUGAAAUGCGAUUCAAAGCGCGAUUUCUUGUAAAACUUAACGAUCAAGGGGAACCAAACGAAUCGAUAUCGUAAUGAAUAAAUCGUGGCUCUGCAGAACGAUCGUUAUUUUUAGUUAUAUUUCUCUGCUGCAGCUAAAAAUUCGAUAGUUUUAAAACAUUCGAUCCACGCUGUGUUGGAAUAAUAAUUAAGUGGCGCGUAAUUAAGCGAUUCCAUCUUUGCAGGCACGCAACAUCUUUACAACAUCACUAACAACAUUUCUCAACCCAAAUAUAUCUUUGGA